GCUCAGUUGGUAGAGCGUCCGACUGUAGUGAUUAGUAAUCGGAUGGUCCCUGGUUCGAUUCCGGG